GCCCAGCUGGAAGUGAGAUAAUAAUACUGUAACCGGUGGGAAGGAGGCUUGCAUGCAAGUGUGUGUGUUUUGUUUGUACAAAGCCAACCUAAAUUUGGUAUCUUCGCAGGAAAAUGGGUUUUGUGUUUCUUUUAGUUAACAUUCAGGCCUGAAACAGGUUUCUACCUUGAUCUGCUGCUUUGCAAAAGUGUUCUUCAGGUGCUGAAGUGGUGUAAGAAUGGACCCAGUGGAAUACGGAUCAGUUUUCAAGUUCCAUUACUUGAAAGGCCGCAUACCAGAGGAGGCGUUCAAUGAGAUGAAAGAGGCUUAUGCACCUACACAUCUGAACUGCAUAAUGGAAAGUGUUUCUAAAACAUCAAUUUAUGCUCCACGAUUUAUAAAACAGCCCUGAAGCAGCUUACACUAUAAUGGAGUCUCGAAAACUAAGAUAAGCAGUUACAACAGCCGUUGCUAAAAUAAGCAUGAGGCACCCUCCAAGUUCAAGGUCUCUUCAAAGAGAAAUGCCAGCCUGUGGUGAAAAAGCUGAGAAGGUGUAUCAGCGAUUUAUCAGCUCCCUGAAGAAGAUGGGAAACGGCAAGGAUUCUGAGAAAAUCAAAACUUCCCUCCAGUAACAUAACAAGGAAAGAAAAAAGGCCAUUAAAGACCUCAAUUGGGAUUCAGAAAGACUUUAUACUAGCCUAAAGAAGCUAAACACAGUUGAUUUACUGGCCUAACAAUAGAGAACUUUUUAUAUCCUAGGAUAACAUGGAAGUUUACGUCCCUAGAGUUGUAUAUUCCUGCUUGCAUGCGCUGGAUGGGUGGAUGCGUGCUUGAGGGUAGGAUGCUUGGUUCUUUUGUAUGAGUGUGUGCGUGAGAGAAUGAUCUCCCCCCCCCCCUACUUCCCCCCACCUCCUCACUCUUAUUUCUUGUUCCUACUGUCUAGGGAUUGGUUAUUGUAGUAAUUGUUUAUUAAUUGUGUAAUGUGUUAAGUUGUUAACUGUUUUUACACUGUUGCACUGCAUUUUUGCUAUUCUUAUUGGUUGUGAACCGCUGUGAGUUGCCUUCGGGCUGAGAACAGCAGUAUAGAAGUAAAGUAAAUAAAUAAAUAUCCUAACUAUUGUUCCCCCACUUUUAAUGUAUUCAGAAAUUCACAAUAAAAAUUACAAGAAAAGAAAAGAAAUCGUUCUCCCGGCAGAUAAAGGUGUAAUGACCACGGUCAUCAUGAAAACAGAACGAUCUAGAGAAAAAGCCAGACAACUGUUGGAUCCCACAACAUACGGAAAACUAAAAUGGGACCCAACCAAUAAAAUCACAAGAAAAACCAACUGAUUAAGAAUGCUUAAUCCUAACAUAUGCCAAAAUCUAUGAAAAUCUGACGCUCUCCCUUCUAGGCUUUGUAGAUUCAAAAUACUCCACAAGGACCCAUUGUGGGCACCAUGAGGAGCCCUACAUACGGUUUGGCAAAAUUUUGGGCUGCACAACUACAAACCCAUAUUGGACUUACUGCGCACUAUGAUACGGACUCUGCUCAUGUCAUAGAAAAGUCAGCAGUAAAACUCCGCACCAAUGACAAACGGGACCACUUAAAUGUGGUUUCCCUAUUCAAGGUCCCCAUAGUAGAUGCAUCAACUGGAAUUUCCCUUUAAAUUAUUAUUAAAUAUAUGUUUUUAUUGCCGACACAAGCAGAAUGAUAUCACAAUCUUUGUGGUUUGAGAUUUUACCUUGGCAUUUUAAUAAUAUUUUUAAUUAUUUUUUAACUUAAGUUUGAGUGUAUGUUAGUUCAGUAUUAUGGGAGUCUCAGAAUAGUGAUUAUUGUCUAUUUGUGUACAUUUUUGUUUUUAAUGAUAUGGUCAGUGGACUAAUCAAUAAACUUUGCUUUGCUUAAGGCAGAUAUCACAA